CCUCCCGUGGGAGCCCCCUUUGGACACUCUAUGACCCUGGACCCUCGGGGGACCUGAACUUGAUGCGAUGGGAGGCUGUGCAGGCUCGCGGCGGCGCUUUUCGGAUUCCGAGGGUGGACCCAGGCCCAACGCCGAUCCCCCACAACAGCUCAUCACGAUUUGACUGCAACUCUGUCUCUACGGCUCCCCCGGGUUCUCGUCAGUGGGAUUUGUGCUGCUGGAAGCUUCGUCCUGGUUGCCUUUUCUCAUUCUGUGGGGACCAGCCUGUGUGCUAUUUCUUGUUGCUCACAUCUCCUGAGGCCCAGGACCCUGGAGGGGAAGAAGAAGCAGAGAGCGCAGCCCGGCAGCCCCUCAUAAGAACCGAGGCCCCGGAGUCGAAGCCAGGCUCCAGCUCCAGCCUCUCCCUUCGGGAAAGGUGGACAGUGUUCAAGGGUCUGCUGUGGUACAUUGUUCCCUUGGUC
rnacentral:lncRNA from 1 species